rnacentral:miRNA from 3 species
UUUCCACAGCCUCUACACAUGU